rnacentral:rRNA from 1 species
GGCGAACGCUGGCGGCGUGCUUAACACAUGCAAGUCGAACGGAAAGGCCCUGCUUUUGUGGGGUGCUCGAGUGGCGAACGGGUGAGUAACACGUGAGUAACCUGCCCUUGACUUUGGGAUAACUUCAGGAAACUGGGGCUAAUACCGGAUAGGAGCUCCUGCUGCAUGGUGGGGGUUGGAAAGUUUCGGCGGUUGGGGAUGGACUCGCGGCUUAUCAGCUUGUUGGUGGGGUAGUGGCUUACCAAGGCUUUGACGGGUAGCCGGCCUGAGAGGGUGACCGGCCACAUUGGGACUGAGAUACGGCCCAGACUCCUACGGGAGGCAGCAGUGGGGAAUAUUGCACAAUGGGCGGAAGCCUGAUGCAGCAACGCCGCGUGCGGGAUGGCGGCCUUCGGGUUGUAAACCGCUUUCGCCUGUGACGAAGCGUGAGUGACGGUAAUGGGUAAAGAAGCACCGGCUAACUACGUGCCAGCAGCCGCGGUAAUACGUAGGGUGCGAGCGUUGUCCGGAUUUAUUGGGCGUAAAGGGCUCGUAGGUGGUUGAUCGCGUCGGAAGUGUAAUCUUGGGGCUUAACCCUGAGCGUGCUUUCGAUACGGGUUGACUUGAGGAAGGUAGGGGAGAAUGGAAUUCCUGGUGGAGCGGUGGAAUGCGCAGAUAUCAGGAGGAACACCAGUGGCGAAGGCGGUUCUCUGGGCCUUUCCUGACGCUGAGGAGCGAAAGCGUGGGGAGCGAACAGGCUUAGAUACCCUGGUAGUCCACGCUGUAAACGGUGGGUACUAGGUGUGGGGUCCAUUCCACGGGUUCCGUGCCGUAGCUAACGCUUUAAGUACCCCGCCUGGGGAGUACGGCCGCAAGGCUAAAACUCAAAGGAAUUGACGGGGCCCCGCACAAGCGGCGGAGCAUGCGGAUUAAUUCGAUGCAACGCGUAGAACUUUACCUGGGUUUGACAUGGAUCGGGAGUGCUCAGAGAUGGGUGUGCCUCUUUUGGGGUCGGUUCACAGGUGGUGCAUGGCUGUCGUCAGCUCGUGUCGUGAGAUGUUGGGUUAAGUCCCGCAACGAGCGCAACCCUUGUUCACUGUUGCCAGCACGUUAUGGUGGGGACUCAGUGGAGACCGCCGGGGUCAACUCGGAGGAAGGUGGGGAUGACGUCAAGUCAUCAUGCCCCUUAUGUCCAGGGCUUCACGCAUGCUACAAUGGCUGGUACAGAGAGUGGCGAGCCUGUGAGGGUGAGCGAAUCUCGGAAAGCCGGUCUCAGUUCGGAUUGGGGUCUGCAACUCGACCUCAUGAAGUCGGAGUCGCUAGUAAUCGCAGAUCAGCAACGCUGCGGUGAAUACGUUCCCGGGGCU